GUCGGGACUCGGGCGCCCGCAUAAAUGCUGUUUUAGGAAAUCUCUUGUGGUACCCUAGGGGUUGCGAGAGCUCGGUGGAAUUGUUCCCGGUGACGGCGGGAGGUGGGUGAUGGAGGAACCAUUGAGGAUUCUCGAGUUCUACAGCGGCAUCGGUGGAAUGAGGUACUCGCUGAUGAGGGCUGGGAGUCGAGGAGAGGUGGUGGAGGCGUUCGAUAUCAACGACAAAGCCAACGACGUCUACGAGCACAACUUCGGUCAUCGCCCUUUCCAGGUUUUUAUCUCUCUCCAUACUGUAUGGUUGUUUUAAUUUCUAUCUAUCCAGAGGUUGGCGGUAGCUUGAAGUACGAAUUACCACCAACGCUGCAUAGCGUUACCAAGCAGUGGCUGUUACUAAUUUGCUCGCCUUCUUACAAUUUUUGUCGAGAUGUCCGAGGAAAACAUCAUUUUCUUAGUUCAUUUGUAAAUUGUUUGUUUAUUUCCCAAAAAGAGAGGAAAAA